rnacentral:rRNA from 1 species
AUACGUAGGGUGCAAGCGUUAAUCGGAAUUACUGGGCGUAAAGCGUGCGCAGGCGGUUAUGUAAGACAGAGGUGAAAUCCCCGGGCUCAACCUGGGAACUGCCUUUGUGACUGCAUGGCUAGAGUGCGGCAGAGGGGGAUGGAAUUCCGCGUGUAGCAGUGAAAUGCGUAGAUAUGCGGAGGAACACCGAUGGCGAAGGCAAUCCCCUGGGCCUGUACUGACGCUCAUGCACGAAAGCGUGGGGAGCAAACAGGAUUAGAUACCCUAGUAGUCC